AGUACAGAGAGACCCCCCACCGAAGCCACCAGCACCAUCUCUCCUCAGAGGGGAGUUCAGCCAACUGGAUGUUUUGAGUCUAUGAGUUUACUCUUUGAGAUUUCCUGACACCACAGUUUCCAAUGUUCCUUCCAGACACAGACAAUCCUCUCCUCCCAAGAAACUCAGGUGUGGCUAGGCAUGGUGGUGCACACCUGUAGUCCCAGCUACUUGGAAGGCUGAGGUGUGGUGGUACACAUGUGUAGUCCCAGCUACUCCGGAGACUGAGGCCAGAGGAUCGCUUGAGCCCAGCCAGGAGUUUUGGGCUGCAGUGCGCUGUGCUGAUUGGGUGUCCACACUAAGUUCAUCACCAAUAUGGUGAACUCCCUGGAGCCGAGGACCAACAGGUUGGCUAGGGAGGGAUGAAUUGGCCCAGGUUGGAAAUGGAGCAGGUCAAAAUUUCCAUGCUGAUUAGUAGUGGGAUGGUGCCUGCGAAUAGCCACUGCACUCUGGCCUGGCCAACAUAGCAAGACCCUGUCUCUAAAAAAAUAAGUAAAUACAAGAAACUGGUGUAAACUGUUCUCUUCACUCUGUUACAUGUAAAUGUAAGGAAAGAGAAUGGAAAAACUAUUUUAACAUGGAUUAUCUCAAAGUGGUGAAAUUGUGAGAGUUUUUUACUUUCUUCCUUUUGUUCAUCUGUAUCGUCUAAAUGUUCUAUAAGAUGAAUAUCUGUUUAAUACAUUUUAUCUUUCUUAAAAGAUUGUGUUGAUGACUAAAAAGUUAACAUGUGUAACAAUGCCAGCAAAGCUGAAUUUUUACUUAAAAGUUACAGCCGGGCCAGGCAAGAUGGGUCAUGCCUGUAAUCCCAGCACUUUGGGAGGCUUUAGUGGGUGGAUCACCUGAGGUCAGGAGUUGGAGACUAGCCUGGCCAACAUGGCAAAACCCAUCUCUACUAAAAAUUCAAAAAUUAGCUGGGUACGGUGGCAGGUGCCUGUAAUCCCAGCUACUUGGGAGGCUGAGGCAGGAGAAUCACGUGAACCCGGGAGGCGGAGGUUGCAGUGAGCCAAGAUUGCGCCAUUGCACUCCAGCCCGGGUAACAACAGUGAGACCCUGUCUCAAAAGAAAAAUUACAGCUGGGUGUGGUGACUCAUACCUGUAAUCCCAGCACUUCAGGAGGCAGAGGCAGGAGGAUCACUUGAGCUCAAGAGUUCAAGACCAGCCUAGGCAACAAAGUGAGAACCCCCUCCCGUCUCUACAAAAAUAAUAAUAAUAAUAACAAUAAUAAAUAAAACUGAAAAAAUAAAAAUAUAUAUUUUAUGGAGAAAGGUGUACACAUGUUAUCUAAAAGUGAAGAAGCAUAAAAAGUUUCAUAUUCAUUUUGUUUCUCUCUGUCUGUUCAAUUCUUAUAGCUUCAUUGUUUAAUUUCCUCACAUCUUUUUUGGGAGAAUGUUAUUUAACAAGGAUUCUGGUAACUGUAGCGGAACUGGCAAAGGGGCGGUUUGUAAUCAGCACAUUGCUUGUAUAAUCCACGGGGUUGUAACCAUUCAGGAAGGAACUUCCUGUCCUUUAUUUAAUUAAAGCAACUUUUCUUGAAAAACAAAACAAAACCUCUUUUCUAACUAGCAUUUACAUGAAGAGUUGCCUACGUUAAAAGACACAGCAACCUGUGAAGAGAAAUAUUUAAGCUAAUGUGUUCCAUCGUGCUGGUGAGCACUUUCAAAGGAGUGCAUGAAAGAUAUCACAGCCUCACAAAUGCAGAGAAAAGCCUCCCUUGGCCACUGCUGAUCAGGAAGUGAGACUUUGUCCUCCCCACAGUGCUAUACCUAGCCGGCUGGAUUAUCUUCCUCAUGGCCAAAAGGAGACUAGACAUGGAAGGCAAAUUGCAGUUAGAUGAAUUUAACCAGCUUUCUCUACACCGCAUGAAGCCAGCGACUGUGAGGGCUCUGCUACGCGGCUGAGCGGGCUGUGCAGGCAUUGCCAAGGUCUCCUCCCUUGUUGACGUUCCCUGCUCGUCUUCACGUGAUCCCAUCUCAGGGCUCUGCCGUCCACGCCCUCACCAAGCUGGAUCCUGGAAGUCAUGCAAUUCCUUCUUCCUUACUUCUGUAAACCAAAAAGUGUCUGAGACAGAUCUCAGUCAACUUAGAGGUUUAUUUUGCUGAGGUUGAGGAAACACUCAGGAAAAAAGAAACACGAGUUACAA
rnacentral:lncRNA from 1 species